rnacentral:rRNA from 1 species
UGGGGAAUAUUGGGCAAUGGGCGAAAGCCUGACCCAGCGACGCCGUGUGGGUGAUGAAGGCCUUCGGGUUGUAAAGCCCUGUUGGGUGGAAAGAAGGGCUCUUUGGUGAAUAAUCUUAGAGCCUUGACGGUACCACCAGAGGAAGCACCGGCUAACUCCGUGCCAGCAGCCGCGGUAAUACGGAGGGUGCAAGCGUUGUUCGGAAUUUCUGGGCGUACAGGGCGCGUAGGUGGUUGUGUAAGUCAGAUGUGAA